CCCUAUGGAUCCGAAUAACCUCGGGAAACUGAGGCUAAUUCGGAAUAGGAUUCCCAGGCUGGAACUGCCGGGAAUUCGAAACGCUCCGGCGCCAUAGGAUGUGGCUGCGGCCGAUUAGGUAGACGGUGGGGUAACGGCCCACCGUGCCAAUAAUCGGUACGGGUUGUGAGAGCAAGAGCCCGGAGACGGUAUCUGAGACAAGAUACCGGGCCCUACGGGGCGCAGCAGGCGCGAAACCUUUACACUGCACGCCAGUGCGAUAAGGGGACUCCAAGUGCGAGGGCAUAUAGUCCUCGCUUUUCGCGACCGUAAGGUGGUCGCAGAAUAAGUGCUGGGCAAGACCGGUGCCAGCCGCCGCGGUAAUACCGGCAGCACGAGUGAUGACCGCUAUUAUUGGGCCUAAAGCGUCCGUAGCUGGCCAGCCAAGUCCAUCGGGAAAUCCGCGCGCUUAACGCGCGGGCGUCCGGUGGAAACUGGAUGGCUUGGGACCGGAAGACCAGAGGGGUACGUCCGGGGUAGGAGUGAAAUCCCGUAAUCCUGGACGGACCACCGGUGGCGAAAGCGCCUCUGGAAGACGGAUCCGACGGUGAGGGACGAAAGCUCGGGUCACGAACCGGAUUAGA
rnacentral:rRNA from 1 species